UACCUUUUUUCCUAUUCCAUAAAAAAUAAAAUUAAAAAAAAUCAAAAAUCCUUUUCAAAGUUUCCAUCUGGUUUCUUUCCCCCUUUUCCCUUUUUUUUGGGGUUACACGCAACUUUCCAUUUUUAAUUUCUUCCUUCUUUUAUUUUUGGGGCUCCACAUGUUUCCUCCUUUUUGACUUCAUAUCAGAUUUUCCCUAAAUUGCUCCUUCUUCCCCAAUUUCAAACGACAAUCUUUUACUGCCCCCUUCAUUCCAUCUCACUCUUUUCUUUCUCUUCUCCAUCGCCUCUUCUGCCGGACCCCUUUCCUUCUCCUCUCUCUUCUCUCUACCUGCUCCCUCCACUCUUUUCUGUCCCCUUCACGUUCCACCCCACUUCACCCGACACCCUUCCACUUCUCCUCUUUCCCACGCCCUGCCAUCUCCACUGCUGUCCCCCACGCCGCUUCUCUCUCAUACACUCCUCUUUACUUUAAUACAAAUGAAGCCCUAUAGAUGAAUGGGAGUGAAAUCGUUUGGGGCAGGGGAUUUUUUGGAGAGAAAACCCAAUUAACUUUAGACAACGAAGACCGGAAAUCCUCCUAAAAAAACACAAGAUCGGGAAUUUACAGAUUCCCUUACAAAACGGAAGAACUUCUAGGUUGCGGUAAUUCGAGUUUCGAAAUCGUUCUUCGAGUUCGAGUAUAAAUCGAGACUCGUACCCCAGUUCACUGCACCAACAAAAGGUAGACAGAGAGGCGAGCUUGAUCCAGAUUCUUAGUAGCUGUCAGCUGAUUGAGAGCACUCCAUCGUUCGGAGGUGCUUGUGAUUCUCCUUUUGGUAUAAAUGCAUAUUCUGGGCAUGACAGAGUCUUGUUCAGUCUAUAUGUAUAGUAUGUCAGUAGAGGCUCGUAGAUACGCAGUGUGGGUUAGAUGGUCUCACAAGAUGGUACUAUAUGUAUAUAUAUUAUUUUGAUGGCCGAGAGGCAAAUGUAUAUAACGCAUUUGUGUUUUUAUCCCAA